rnacentral:rRNA from 1 species
CCUACGGGAGGCAGCAGUGGGGAAUAUUGGGCAAUGGGCGCAAGCCUGACCCAGCCACGCCGCGUGAAGGAAGAAGGCUUUCGGGUUGUAAACUUCUUUUGACAGGGAAGAGUAGAAGACGGUACCUGUCGAAUAAGCCACGGCUAACUACGUGCCAGCACCCGCGGUAAUCCGUCGGUGGCAAGCGUUGUCCGGAUUUACUGGGUGUAAGGGGCGUGUUGCCGGGUUGACAAGUCAGAUGUGAAAUCCUGCGGCUUAACCGGAGAACUGCAUUUGAAACUGUUGAUCUUGAGUACUGGAGAGGCAGACGGAAGGCCUGGUGUAGCGGUGAAAUGCAUAGAUAUUA